CAACAGUCCUUCCUGCCGUCCUGCAGAAGUCAGGGGGAGGGGGAGCCUGAGGAAGAAUAAUACCUGAUAGGUGUGAAACAUCACUGAGUUUCAAGUUCUCUUCCGUGGUUUGACAAUGGCCGGCCCCCUCUGGUGGUAGGCUGGAAUCCGAUGGCCCCACCACAGCUGCCGGGAGACACACCAGUCCCUGCCGAGAAGCCAUGAGCGAUUUCUCAGAACAACCAGUACUCUACCACAUCCCCGGAACGACUGAAAGGGAGACAGGGCGAGUCCACCGCUGCUCCGACCCUGGACCUUUCCCCCAGGGACAUGGGCCCUCCUGUGCCAGGCCCUCAGUACGGAGAACACAGCAGCAAAUAAACUGACACAGAGCUUCUCUUCUAGUGGAAGGAGUGCACAACCCACCCUACUGUCACUCUUAAGCUCCACCCAUUCCCUUCUGGGGGUGGUCCUAAGUAAAGGAGUUAAAACGG